GUCGCGCCGCCGCGGAGCGGCGGAGGAAGACGAGACGAUGGGCGGCGCAGGCGCGGCGGAAGGCGGCAGGUUUGCCAGGCCGGCGCCGUCUUCUCCAAGGAUCUUGGUGCCUGUGGUAGCAAGAGAGGAAGUCCAUCCAUUGGAUGAGAUUUUUGAGACAUCGCCUGUACAUCAACCAAGGAUGGAACUGAUCAACUGUAGAUCCAGCUAAAAAUUGCAUUUUUUUUAACGCAAAGAAAAGAUUGACAAGGUAAUAUUACGUCAAUAAUCACAUUAUCUGUUUUACCCAGAUGGACAGUUGUUGAUGAAUUUAUAUAGGUAGGAAGAUGACAACGUACUUGACUUGCGUGAAUUUUGCAUGGUCACCACCAUGUAUUUUUUUGCUGACAAUGAUGUUCCACUUGCUAGUUACCUUGUGUAAUUAUUGCUGACGUUACUUUUGCAUGGUCACCACCAUGUAUUUUUUAGCUGACAAUGAUGUUCCACUUGUUAGUU
rnacentral:sRNA from 1 species